rnacentral:rRNA from 12 species
UUGACCUCGGAUCAGGUAGGAAUACCCGCUGAACUUAAGCAUAUCAAUAAGCGGAGGAAAAGAAACCAACAGGGAUUGCCCUAGUAACGGCGAGUGAAGCGGCAACAGCUCAAAUUUGAAAU